rnacentral:lncRNA from 1 species
UUCUUAGCAUCUUUGAGUCGCUAACUCCUAGUUCAGCUGCCCACCUGUACUUCUGGUUUCUAUCACCUCUAUGGGCUUCUGAACCUUACAUGCAAAUUAGCCGAGGUUUGUGUUUAAGCAUAUAGGAUAUCUCACACAGGUUUAACAAAAUUCUUGUUCAUGGAAAUAAAUCAAGAAAAUAUCUACGUAUUGAAGAUAUCCUUUGGAAAAGCCACUGCGGGUUUCCUUAGUCUGCCCUAACCCUGAGAAAGGUAAACCUUUCCGUUGCUGAGGCGACAGACACAACUUGGCUGUUUGGUUCUCCCGCGCACCCGGAUGACGUCAGGCGGCGAGAUUCUCUUACGCCAAAACUUCCGGCCCACCAUCUUUGUCCCUGGCAAAUUGGGUUUUGCGCAGUGUCUUAGAUCUAGAGAGAAUCGUGACGGGCAGGAAACCAUUACACCACCUUCCCGGCUGUGCUCUCUGACUGCCGCCGCCACCCCGCCCUUGCCUCCGAGGCCUUAUACCUGCUAGGUUCACGCUGAAGAUCCAGAAUCAUGACUGACUCCAAGUACUUCACAACCAAUAAGAAGGGAGAAAUCUUUGAAUUAAAAGCUGAACUC